rnacentral:lncRNA from 1 species
AAAGGACCAAGAUACGGCUGUAAUAAUCUAAUUAACCGAACGUGUGAGAAAGUUCCCCCAUUCAUUUUUAUACUAAUUGAUACUCUCGUUAGUUUAAUUAAUGCACACAUUAAUUGAGGAUGACGAAACCAUAGAAGACCAAAAAAAAAAAAACAAUUACUACGGGCUUUAUAUUAAUGGGCUGGCCCGACUAGUUUUUAUGAAGUUCUCCUCUUUGUUGGAUCCGUACCCAUCAGUAAACCAAAACUUAAGCAUCCGAAGUCAACUAAACUGUUGUUAGAGAAA